AAAAUCCGUCGACUUUAGAAAUCGUGAGGGUUCAAGCCCUCUAUCCCCA
rnacentral:tRNA from 1 species